GCAAGCGCAGAAGGGCGACGCCCAACUUAAACACCAAGAUAGCUGGUGUAGUCUUUGCUUACCUGAUUUUUGCCUUGGCUCAGCAAAAUAAAAGAGAAGGAUUUGCGGACGUAAACUAAGACAAAUUCAUUUUCAAUAUAGGUUUGGAGGCGGAAGAUCUCAGCGUUAGUGACCCCGAGCUUGAAGGCGGGGGAGGGGGGUAUUGUCGGUUCGGAGCCAGCACUGCCCCACUUUGUGCCUGCUAUUAUUAGGGCUGGUAAGGUAGCAACGGUGAGCACUUCUAAUAGCUUCCUCCUCUCUUCUCUUCUCCCCACUUUCUCCCUACAUCAUCUCCUCACCAAGUUGACCUGUCCGUAUGCCAGAAAACCUUGAGAUCAUAGAACUAGGCAGUAGCUUCUGCCUCAACACGGACAUGGCACAGGAGAAAAUGGAACUAGGCGUGGAGCUGCUGCCAAGUUCAACCAUCACAGCCGGCACAUCCUGAGAAGAUCCAACAGCGCCCCUUUGAUCAUUGAGCUUGGUGAUAAUUCACUGGCGUUCCAACCUGACAGAAUAAGAACUAGAAGAAACAGUACAACAUUUAUGACACAACACUGUCUGGAAGAAGGCAUGGAUUUAAUAACUAAAGAAGCAAUGAAUGAAUGGGAGAUACAAACUACAAUACAGAUACAUCAGUCUUGGGAAGAAAAAGUGAACUUGGUGAAAUUAUAUUUGAAGAUCAGCCAAAGAGAUUUUUCCAAGGCAAACCCAAUGUGUUUUCUUCUGAUACUACCCAGCUGUCUGAUAUAAAUAUGUGAUCAUUGGAAAAAUAUCCUCGGGUGAAGAUUAACAAAAAAACACAACAAAAAACAAAACAGAAACCCUUAGCAUAAUGCUCUCCAGUUCCAUCCAUGCUGUUGCAAAUGUUAUUGGUACCAUGUUUUAGACAGUCGAGCUGCCUCCAGAUUGAUUGGCCUCUCUAUUGCAAGGCACUUCGCAAGAUGACAGUGACAGCAGAUGUAGAAUACAUUUCUUGUCCUUGAUCUGAUCACAGUUCUGAUCAACCUAGCAUAUACAUUGGUCUUCUUUCCAGCCUAAUGAAUCAUUUGCCUUUAAUUCCUUUUGUUAUUCCUCAAACAUGGUAGGCACUAUUUAAAAGAGCCUGGUGCCCAACUGGUGUGGCUCAGUGGUUGAGCAUCGAUCUAUGAACCAAGGAGGUCACGGUUCGAUUCCUGGUCAGGGCACAUACCCGGGUUGCAGUCUCCAUCCCCAGUAGAGGGCAUGCUGGAGGCAGACAAUCAAUGAUUCUCAUAAGUGAGGUUUCUAUCUCUCUCCCUCUCUGAAAUCAAUAAAAUAUUUUAAAAAUAAAAAUAAAAGAGCCUGGUAAACUGUAUAUUCCAGCUCCAUAUAGCAUCAAACCCAAUGCCUUCCACCAGGCAUAUAUGCCUGUCUGCUUAGUUUUUUUCAAGAGAGUAGUUUUCUGAUUGGAGGGACUGCAUCUUGGUACACAGUUUACAUAGAAUGCUUCAUAUACUUGCUAAGCAAAAAUAACUUUAAAUCUUCAAUUUAAAAAAAAAUAUUUUUUUAUUGAUUUCAGAGAGGAAGGGAGAGGGAGAGAGAGAUAGAAACAUCAAUAAUGAGAGAGUCAUUGAUGGGCUGCCUCCUGCACACCCCACACUGGGGAUCGAGCCCACAACUUGGGCAUGUGCCCUUGACAGGAAUUGAACCCAGGACCCUUCAGUCCACAGGCUGACACAUUAUCCACUGAGCCAAACCAGCUAGGGCUGAAUCUUCAACUUUUGAAGAGUUUUACAUUUAUGCUAUUUUAAAGAUUAAC